AUUGAACGCUGGCGGCAUGCUUUACACAUGCAAGUCGAACGGUAACAGGCCGCAAGGUGCUGACGAGUGGCGAACGGGUGAGUAAUGCAUCGGAACGUGCCCAGUCGUGGGGGAUAACGCAGCGAAAGCUGCGCUAAUACCGCAUACGAUCUGUGGAUGAAAGCGGGGGACCUUCGGGCCUCGCACGAUUGGAGCGGCCGAUGUCAGAUUAGGUAGUUGGUGGGGUAAAGGCUCACCAAGCCGACGAUCUGUAGCUGGUCUGAGAGGACGACCAGCCACACUGGGACUGAGACACGGCCCAGACUCCUACGGGAGGCAGCAGUGGGGAAUUUUGGACAAUGGGGGCAACCCUGAUCCAGCAAUGCCGCGUGCAGGAAGAAGGCCUUCGGGUUGUAAACUGCUUUUGUACGGAACGAAAAGGCUCUGGUUAAUACCUGGGGCACAUGACGGUACCGUAAGAAUAAGCACCGGCUAACUACGUGCCAGCAGCCGCCGUAACAC
rnacentral:rRNA from 1 species